rnacentral:tRNA from 2 species
GCGAAUAUAGUCGAAUGGUAAAAUUUCUCUUUGCCAAGGAGAAGACGCGGGUUCGUUCGAUUCCCACUAUCCACC